rnacentral:rRNA from 1 species
UACUGCUAUGCUAGUACCCUAAAUGUGUUUGAUCUCUUCUGAUCUCAGAAGCUAAGUAGAGUUGAGCCUGGUUAGUACUUGGAUGGGAGAAAUAGAAACCAGUUCUUUUCUGGAG